GAAAUGCGAUAAGUAAUGUGAAUUGCAGAAUUCAGUGAAUCAUCGAAUCUUUGAACGCACCUUGCGCUCCUUGGUAUUCCUUGGAGCAUGCCUGUUUGAGUAUCAUGAAAUCUUCAAAGUAAAUCUUUUGUUAACUCAAUUGGUUUCUACUUUGGUAUUGGAGGUCUUUGCAGCUUCACACCUGCUCCUCUUUGUUCAUUAGCUGGAUCUCAGUGUUAUGCUUGGUUCCACUCGGCGUGAUAAGUUAUCUAUCGCUGAGGACACUGUAAAAGGUUGCCAAGGUAAAUGCAGAUGAACCGCUUCUAAUAGUCCAUUGACUUGGAAAAUACUUUUAUGAUCUGAUCUCAAAUCAGGUAGGACUACCCGCUGAACUUAAGC
rnacentral:misc_RNA from 1 species